CCUACGGGGGGCUGCAGUCGAGAAUCAUUCACAAUGGGGGAAACCCUGAUGGUGCGACGCCGCGUGGGGGAAUGAAGGUCUUCGGAUUGUAAACCCCUGUCAUGUGGGAGCAAAUUAAAAAGAUAGUACCACAAGAGGAAGAGACGGCUAACUCUGUGCCAGCAGCCGCGGUAAUACAGAGGUCUCAAGCGUUGUUCGGAAUCACUGGGCGUAACGCGUGCGUAGGCUGUUUCGUAAGUCGUGUGUGAAAGGCGCGGGCUCAACCCGCGGACGGCACAUGAUACUGCGAGACUAGAGUAAUGGAGGGGGAACCGGAAUUCUCGGUGUAGCAGUGAAAUGCGUAGAUAUCGGGAGGAACACUCGUGGCGAAGGCGGGUUCCUGGACAUUAACUGACGCUGAGGCACGAAGGCCAGGGGAGCGAAAGGGAUUAGAUACCCCAGUAGUC
rnacentral:rRNA from 1 species